GCAAGUCGAGCGGUAACAUUUCUAGCUUGCUAGAAGAUGACGAGCGGCGGACGGGUGAGUAAUACUUAGGAAUCUACCUAGUAGUGGGGGAUAGCUCGGGGAAACUCGAAUUAAUACCGCAUACGACCUACGGGAGAAAGGGGGCAACUUGUUGCUCUCGCUAUUAGAUGAGCCUAAGUCGGAUUAGCUAGAUGGUGGGGUAAAGGCCUACCAUGGCGACGAUCUGUAGCUGGUCUGAGAGGAUGAUCAGCCACACCGGGACUGAGACACGGCCCGGACUCCUACGGGAGGCAGCAGUGGGGAAUAUUGGACAAUGGGGGAAACCCUGAUCCAGCCAUGCCGCGUGUGUGAAGAAGGCCUUUUGGUUGUAAAGCACUUUAAGCAGUGAAGAAGACUCUUCGGUUAAUACCCGGAGACGAUGACAUUAGCUGCAGAAUAAGCACCGGCUAACUCUGUGCCAGCAGCCGCGGUAAUACAGAGGGUGCAAGCGUUAAUCGGAAUUACUGGGCGUAAAGCGAGCGUAGGUGGCUUGAUAAGUCAGAUGUGAAAUCCCCGGGCUUAACCUGGGAACUGCAUCUGAUACUGUCAGGCUAGAGUAGGUGAGAGGAAGGUAGAAUUCCAGGUGUAGCGGUGAAAUGCGUAGAGAUCUGGAGGAAUACCGAUGGCGAAGGCAGCCUUCUGGCAUCAUACUGACACUGA
rnacentral:rRNA from 1 species